rnacentral:rRNA from 1 species
CUGCCCCGAAGAGGGGGACAACUCCUCGAAAGAGGAGCUAAUACCCCGGAUGUCCAGGUAGUUAGAGAGCUUGGACUGAAGCCCUGCAAAGGGCGCUACGGGAGGGGCCUGCGGGCUAUCAGCUAGUUGGUGGGGUAAAGGCCUACCAAGGCGAAGACGGCUAGGGGGCGUGAGAGCGUGGUCCCCCACAAUGGAACUGAGACACGGUCCAUACUCCUACGGGAGGCAGCAGUGAGGAAUAUUGAGCAAUGGGCGCAAGCCUGACUCAGCAACGCCGCGUGGAUGACGAAGGCCUUCGGGUUGUAAAAUCCUUUUCUUGGGGACGAUAAUGACGGUACCUGAGGAAUAAGUUCCGGCUAACUACGUGCCAGCAGCCGCGGUAAAACGUAGGGAACAAGCGUUAUCCGGAUUUACUGGGCGUAAAGCGCAUGUAGGUGGCAUUGAAAGUUGGACGUGAAAACUCCUGGCUUAACUGGGAGAGGUCGUACAAAACUACAAAGCUAGAGGAUGGAAGAGGAGAGUGGAAUUCCCGGUGUAGUGGUGGAAUGCGUAGAUAUCGGGAGGAACACCAGUGGUGAAAACGGCUCUCUGGUCCGUACCUGACACUGAGAUGCGAAAGCGUGGGGAGCGAACGGGAUUAGAUACCCCGGUAGUCCACGCUGUAAACGAUGGAUACUAGGUGUAGGCGGUCAUUUACCCCGCCUGUGCCGAAGCCAACGCGUUAAGUAUCCCGCCUGGGGACUACGGCCGCAAGGUUAAA